CUUGUGGCGGAGCAUGGGGAGGCUCCUCCUGUGCGCCGGGCCGCGGCACUCCCAGGCGCUGGCAUCUGGGGCGGGCAGCGUCCCUCCCACAGGGCUGCCGUCGGCAGGGACAUUCCGCUAGAAGCAUCGACAGUGAGGGAUAAUUCGAGACAGCGUCAACCAUGGUGGAGAACACAGGGAGACAUGGAACCCGUCAGAGAGGGGCACGAGGGAGGCCAGAGGAGGCCCGCUGGGGGCAGGUACCUCCUUCAGAUUCGGGUGUCGCUGGUUCCCAAGACGGAGAGCAGAACUGGACUGACCCAGCGAGAAAUCUGGCAAGUGUCGUUGGCCUGUUCUCCGCUUUUCUGAAAACACAGGCGCCAGGAGAGGUUUCCAUAGCAGCUUCCAAACUGGACACCAAACUUCACUCAGCAGGACAUUGAUAGUUUUCCAUUUCUCCUUUUCCACGUUUCGUCACUUUUCUUGGCGUCCUACAGUUUGUAAAAGGUACAGAUGGCGGCCGCCAUGCUUGCGGGCGCUGAAGGACCUGGUCAAGCCCAAACCAGGUCCUGGGAGCCGUGGACAAGUCUGUCCCCUGGACAGAAUGCAGACCCAAACGCCGCUUCUGGGCGGCCCCAAACGGCCGUGGUCAUCCUUUGUUCCUGCUUCUUCGCCCACCUCGCUGAAUCUCCGUCAGUCUCCAGAGAAGUCUCCGUGCCUUCCCCAGUUCCACCAUCCUGCCCAAUGA